AUACGGAAGGUCCGGGCGUUAUCCGGAUUUAUUGGGUUUAAAGGGAGCGCAGGCGGAGAUGCAAGCGUGACGUCAAAUUUCGGGGCUCAACCCCGUCUCGCGUCGCGAACUGCGUCCCUUGGUUGCGGGAAGGGGAGGCGGAACUCGUGGGGUAGCGGGUGAAUGCAUAGAUAUCACGAAGAACUCCGAUCGCGAAGGCAGCCUUCCGGCCCGUCAACGACGCUCAUGCUCGAAGGUGCGGGUAUCAAACAGGAUUAGAUACCCUGGUAGUCCGCACAGUAAACGAUGGACACCCGCGGUUUGGCCUGUAUGGCUGAGCUGCCAAGCGAAAGCGUUAAGUGUCCCACCUGGGGAGUACGCCGGCAACGGUGAAACUCAAAGGAAUUGACGGGG
rnacentral:rRNA from 1 species